rnacentral:rRNA from 1 species
AGUGAACGCUGGCGGCGUGCUUAACACAUGCAAGUCGAACGAGAACGGAAUAUAGCUUGCUAUAUUUGUCAGCUAAGUGGCGCACGGGUGAGUAAUGUAUAGAUAACCUGCCCUUAAGAAAGGAAUAACAGUUGGAAACGACUGCUAAUGCCCUAUAUGCCUUUAAUACAUAAGUAUGCAAGGGAAACGCUUUAGUGCUUAAGGAUGGGUCUGUAUGGUAUCAGCUUGUUGGUGAGGUAAUGGCUCACCAAGGCUAUGACGCCUAACUGGUUUGAGAGGAUGAUCAGUCAAACUGGAACUGAGACACGGUCCAGACUCCUACGGGAGGCAGCAGUGGUGAAUAUUUCACAAUGGACGAAAGUCUGAUGCAGCAACGCCGCGUGGAGGAUGACACAUUUCGGUGCGUAAACUCCUUUUAUAUAGGAAGAUAAUGACGGUACUAUAUGAAUAAGCACCGGCUAACUCCGUGCCAGCCGCCGCAGUAA